GGCAGCAUAGUUCAGCGGUAGAACAACGGAUUCAUAAUCCGCAUGUCGUAGGUUCGAACCCUACUGUUGUCA
rnacentral:tRNA from 1 species